CCUACGUGAGGCAGCAGUGAGGAAUAUUGGUCAAUGGGCUUACGCCUGAACCCGCCAAGUCGCGUGAGGGAAGACUGCCCUAUGGGUUGUAAACCUCUUUUGUCAGGGAGCAACGCCGGCUACGUGUAGCCGGACUGAGAGUACCUGAAGAAAAAGCAUCGGCUAACUCCGUGCCAGCAGCCGCGGUAAUACGGAGGAUGCGAGCGUUAUCCGGAUUUAUUGGGUUUAAAGGGUGCGUAGGCGGAAUGCCAAGUCAGCGGUAAAAUCGCGGGGCUCAACCUCGCUCCGCCGUUGAAACUGGCGUUCUUGAGUGGGCGAGAAGUAUGCGGAAUGCGUGGUGUAGCGGUGAAAUGCAUAGAUAUCACGCAGAACUCCGAUUGCGAAGGCAGCAUACCGGCGCCCAACUGACGCUGAAGCACGAAAGCGUGGGUAUCGAACAGGAUUAGAUACCCGAGUAGUC
rnacentral:rRNA from 1 species